UCGGGUUUUCCAAAGCCAGAACAUUAAUGC
rnacentral:piRNA from 1 species